rnacentral:rRNA from 1 species
CGUGGGUAACCUGCCCAAGAGAUCGGGAUAACACCUGGAAACAGAUGCUAAUACCGGAUAACAACAGAUGAUGCCUAUCAACUGUUUAAAAGAUGGUUCUGCUAUCACUCUUGGAUGGACCUGCGGUGCAUUAGCUAGUUGGUAAGGUAACGGCCUACCAAGGCGAUGAUGCAUAGCCGAGUUGAGAGACUGAUCGGCCACAUUGGGACUGAGACACGGCCCAAACUCCUACGGGAGGCAGCAGGC